rnacentral:tRNA from 1 species
GGCAGCGAGCUGGGCCCGGAUUUAGCGCUCCUUGAAAUAUAAGCCCUGCCCCCGCGGUUCCACCCCAUCCUCCGAGUCCUCCGCGCGCUGGCAGCUCCUCUUCAACGGUCUUGCUGCGACAUCCAACGGGAUUCUGAGGUCCUGCGCGGGGCCGCCGCCCCCAGGUGCUGACCUGAGGUGAAGGCGGCAGCCGCAGACCCCGACCGCCUGAGGCUCGGGAGGGAGAAGCUCCCCUCCUCUACCUCUCCAAAGAGCCAGCCGCCUGGCCCGCAGUUCCCUACUCAGCCCCGGGCCUGGGCCCUGGGUGGGGGCAUCGGAAGGAGAGCGGCUGGUGAGCCGCGGGGCAGGCGGGGACCUUCCUGAGCCGGUGCCCGCCCUCACCUUGGCAAGCAGCGCCCGAGCUCCGGCCUGAGCACUUGUGUCCACGGACGUGUCUUGAGCCUCAGUGAAUCAGGCUCGCCUCCGAAGAGUCAGAAAAACAAACUACUUGAGACACAUCCCCACGGAGGGCCCUAGGAGAAUUGUGGCUCAGCCAGCUGGGCCGGGACAGGGGACAAGGACAAAGGAGGUUAAUGGCUUUGCCCGAUAGUUUGGGGGCGAGUGGGAAAAGGGAAAGCCUGCGUUGGCCGGGAAUCGAACCCGGGUCAACUGCUUGGAAGGCAGCUAUGCUCACCACUAUACCACCAACGCGCUCGAGCGCCUCCGCUCCCCGGUCGCCCUAUGAGAACUCCCUGGGACGGUCUUGCUCCGCAACUUCCCGUUCAUUUUGAGAUUGACAUUAAGAGAAAUUUCCACUAGAAAGCCAAAGAAAAGCGAAGAGAAACUUGACAGAUUCAAGGAAAGUCAAUUCCAGUUCCUUCCAUCUUCGCGAAGGGAGCAUCUGAAACCCAGCGGACCCACUCGGAAGGUUCCCCAGCCCGGCGCUGGGACUGAAGGCGGCGGGGGAGACGGGCGCCUGCAGAGCUCUGGAGACCUUCCCAAGCCUGCGUGCGUGGAGACAGGGUGCACCGCCGCCUUCCCCGCAGGCUGGGUCUUUCCUUUCACCUUUAAAAAGCCGAGUGCAAAACUAGCGCUCCUACCUUGGUUUGCAUUAUUACUGUUAGGGCUGAUGAUUUCCCACAAGCUUACCAGUUAUUUGUAUCAGCUUUGAAAUUUGUUAUGUAUCUUGCCUAUUUUCUAUUGGGUAUUAUGCUUUCUCUACUGACUACAGUUUAUUAUUUGUCUUUUAAAAUUAUUUAUGAUAUUUUUAGAUAGGCAAAUUUUUCUAUUCUAUAGGCCAUUCUAUCAGUUUUGUCCUUUAUGAUUUCUGCUUUGCUUUUAUCUUGAAAAAGUCAUUCCUAGCCUAAAACUAAAAUAAUAUUCUCUAAUGUCUUCAUGUAGUUUUUAAAAUAGUUUUAGUUUUUGCGUUUAAUUCUUUAACCAUGGAAUAGGUGGUGUGAGGUAGUAAUUCCACUUUUAGAAAUUUAUCCUAAGGGAUAUAUAGGGAUAUACACAAAGUUAAUCUACUUCUAAAAUAUAUUAUUAAAUAGAAAAGGCAAAGUGCAGAGAAGUGUGAAUAGAAUGCUCCCGUUUGUACAAGAGAUGUAAAUAUAUACGUAGGUAUGUAUAUGUGCAUGAACUUAACAUUUGCACAAAGUCUGUGACAUAAUCAGGAAAUUUAACAGUGGUUGCAUUAUCAGAGGGAAAAUAGAUGGUAGAUCGAAAGUCAGGUUUAUUGUGCUUUCUUGUAAAUUUGAAUUCCAAACCUUGUAAACACUUCAUCUUUUCAAAACUUAGAUAAAUCUGUUUCUGAAUAUUUAUUUCUACUGGCAAGUUAGAAAU